rnacentral:rRNA from 1 species
AUUGAACGCUGGCGGUAUGCCUAACACAUGCAAGUCGAACGAGGUAGCAAUACCUAGUGGCGGACGGGUGAGGAAUACGUAGGGAUCUGCCCUUAAGUGGGGGAUAACCCGGGGAAACCCGGAUUAAUACCGCAUGAUCUCGCAAGAGCAAAGAGGGGGACCGCAAGGCCUCUCGCUUUUGGAGGAACCUACGUCGGAUUAGCUAGUUGGUGAGGUAAUGGCUCACCAAGGCGACGAUCCGUAACUGGUCUGAGAGGAUGAUCAGUCACCCCGGAACUGAGACACGGUCCGGACUCCUACGGGAGGCAGCAGUGGGGAAUAUUGGACAAUGGGCGAAAGCCUGAUCCAGCAAUACCGCGUGUGUGAAGAAGGCCUUCGGGUUGUAAAGCACUUUAAGUUGGGAAGAAAAAGCUUCACCUAAUACGUGAAGCCUUGACGGUACCGACAGAAUAAGCACCGGCUAACUCUGUGCCAGCAGCCGCGGUAAUACAGAGGGUGCUAGCGUUAAUCGGAUUUACUGGGCGUAAAGCGUGCGUAGGUGGUUUGAUAAGUCGAUUGUGAAAGCCCCGGGCUUAACCUGGGAAUUGCGGUCGAUACUGUCAGACUCGAAAACGGUAGAGGGAGGUGGAACUCCAGGU